rnacentral:tRNA from 1 species
AGGUAGUAUGGCUGAGGGUUAAGCGGUGGAUUGUAGCUCCACGAACAGAGGUUCAAGUCCUCUUUCUAUCA